CCUACGGGAGGCAGCAGUAGGGAAUAUUGCGCAAUGGGGGAAACCCUGAAGCAGCAACGCCGCGUGGAGGAUGAAGGUUUUCGGAUUGUAAACUCCUUUUGUUAGAGAAGAUAAUGACGGUAUAUAACGAAUAAGCACCGGCUAACUCCGGGCCAGCAGCCGCGGUAAUACGGAGGGUGCAAGCGUUACUCGGAAGCACUGGGCGUAAAGAGCGAGUAGGCGGGAUAGCAAUUCAGAUGGGAAAUCCCAUGGCUUAACUAUAGAACUGCAUUUGAGACUGUUAUUCUAGAGUAUGGGAGAGGUAGAUGGAAUUCUUGGUGUAGGGGUAAAAUCCGUAGAGAUCAAGAGGAAUACUCAUUGCGAAGGCGACCUGCUAGAACAUAACUGACGCUGAGGCGCGAAAGCGUGGGGAGCAAACAGGAUUAGAUACCCGGGUAGUC
rnacentral:rRNA from 1 species